UACGAAGGGUCCAAGCGUUAUCCGGAUUUAUUGGGUUUAAAGGGUGCGUAGGCGGGUUGUUAAGUCAGUGGUGAAAUCUUGCAGCUUAACUGUAAAAUUGCCAUUGAUACUGACGAUCUUGAGUACACUUGAAGUGGGCGGAAUAUGUCAUGUAGAGGUGAAAUCCUUAGAGAUGACAUAGAACACCGAUUGCGAAGGCAGCUCACUAAAUUGUAACUGACGCUGAGGCACGAAAGCGUGGGGAUCAAACAGG
rnacentral:rRNA from 1 species